rnacentral:rRNA from 1 species
AUCAUUACCGAGUGGCACAGUUUUGUCUCUUGUUCUCCCUUCUGGGGGAAGAAGAAGGCGGCUGGUUACCCGACCUCAUGUCAUGUUCUAGGUUAACUUCGGCGGAAGAGGCAGGUUUCGGGGUUGUGUCUGAUCGGACUGCGUUCUGAUCGGAGACGUCUUCGAGGCGUGCCCGCCGCCGGCCGUAACACAUACACUCUUGCGAGAAGCGUGAAGUCUGAAGAGAAUGAAAACAAAGAAAAAAGCAAAACUUUCAACAACGGAUCUCUUGGCUCUGGCAACGAUGAAGAACGCAGCGAAACGCGAAAGGUAAUGCGAAUUGCAGAAUCAGUGAGUCAUCGAAUUUUUGAACGCACAUUGCGCCUCUCGGUAUUCCGGGAGGCACGCCUGUUCGAGCGCCAUUACACACCCCAAGCUUGGCUUGAUGUUGGACCGCGGCGUGAGGGGUGCUUGCGAGAGCGAGCGCCUCGAAGGCCGGGUCUGGAACGCGUGGGCGCCGGCGCCGGACCACGAGCGUAGCAAAAGACGCAAGUCGAAUCGCUCCUGUGGGAUCUGGCGGACGGUCUUGCCUUGCAAACUUUGGGCUUCUCUUUUCCCGGGGUGGAGGUCGAGUUUUUCUCGACGUUCGUUCUGGUGGGGGGGAGAAGGCGAAAGCAAACACAAACGUUUGGCCU